UGCAGUCGACGGACCCUUCGGGGUUAGUGGCGGACGGGUGAGUAACACGUGGGAACGUGCCUUUUGGUUCGGAAUAGCUCCUGGAAACGGGUGGUAAUGCCGAAUGUGCCCUUCGGGGGAAAGAUUUAUCGCCAUUAGAGCGGCCCGCGUCUGAUUAGCUAGUUGGUGAGGUAAAGGCUCACCAAGGCUACGAUCAGUAGCUGGUCUGAGAGGAUGACCAGCCACAUUGGGACUGAGACACGGCCCAAACUCCUACGGGAGGCAGCAGUGGGGAAUCUUGCGCAAUGGGCGAAAGCCUGACGCAGCCAUGCCGCGUGAAUGAUGAAGGUCUUAGGAUUGUAAAAUUCUUUCACCGGGGACGAUAAUGACGGUACCCGGAGAAGAAGCCCCGGCUAACUUCGUGCCAGCAGCCGCGGUAAUACGAAGGGGGCUAGCGUUGCUCGGAAUUACUGGGCGUAAAGGGAGCGUAGGCGGACAUUUAAGUCAGGGGUGAAAUCCCAGAGCUCAACUCUGGAACUGCCUUUGAUACUGGAUGUCUUGAGUGUGAGAGAGGUAUGUGGAACUCCGAGUGUAGAGGUGAAAUUCGUAGAUAUUCGGAAGAACACCAGUGGCGAAGGCGACAUACUGGCUCAUUACUGACGCUGAGGCUCGAAAGCGUGGGGAGCAAACAGGAUUAGAUACCCUGGUAGUCCACGCCG
rnacentral:rRNA from 1 species